UACGUAGGGGGCAAGCGUUAUCCGGAAUUACUGGGUGUAAAGGGAGCGUAGACGGUAAUGUAAGUCUGGAGUGAAAGGCGGGGGCUCAACCCCCGGACUGCUCUGGAAACUAUGUUACUAGAGUGCAGGAGAGGUAAGCGGAAUUCCUAGUGUAGCGGUGAAAUGCGUAGAUAUUAGGAGGAACACCAGUGGCGAAGGCGGCUUACUGGACUGUAACUGACGUUGAGGCUCGAAAGCGUGGGGAGCAAACAGG
rnacentral:rRNA from 1 species